GAUGAACGCUGGCGGCGUGCCUAAUACAUGCAAGUCGAGCGAACAGACGAGGAGCUUGCUCCUCUGACGUUAGCGGCGGACGGGUGAGUAACACGUGGAUAACCUACCUAUAAGACUGGGAUAACUUCGGGAAACCGGAGCUAAUACCGGAUAAUAUAUUGAACCGCAUGGUUCAAAAGUGAAAGACGGUCUUGCUGUCACUUAUAGAUGGAUCCGCGCUGCAUUAGCUAGUUGGUAAGGUAACGGCUUACCAAGGCAACGAUGCGUAGCCGACCUGAGAGGGUGAUCGGCCACACUGGAACUGAGACACGGUCCAGACUCCUACGGGAGGCAGCAGUAGGGAAUCUUCCGCAAUGGGCGAAAGCCUGACGGAGCAACGCCGCGUGAGUGAUGAAGGUCUUCGGAUCGUAAAACUCUGUUAUUAGGGAAGAACAAAUGUGUAAGUAACUGUGCACGUCUUGACGGUACCUAAUCAGAAAGCCACGGCUAACUACGUG
rnacentral:rRNA from 1 species